UACGUAGGGCGCAAGCGUUGUCCGGAAUUAUUGGGCGUAAAGAGCUCGUAGGCGGUCUGUUACGUCCGCUGUGAAAACCCGGGGCUUAACCCUGGGCUGGCAGUGGAUACGGGCAGGCUAGAGUUCGGUAGGGGAGACUGGAAUUCCUGGUGUAGCGGUGAAAUGCGCAGAUAUCAGGAGGAACACCGGUGGCGAAGGCGGGUCUCUGGGCCGAUACUGACGCUGAGGAGCGAAAGCGUGGGGAGCGAACAGG
rnacentral:rRNA from 1 species